rnacentral:rRNA from 1 species
GACGAACGCUGGCGGCGUGCCUAAUACAUGCAAGUCGAACGCAGUGGGGACGGGUAAGUAACACGUGGGUAACCUCCCAUCAGAGGGGAUAACACUUGGAAUCAGGUGCUAAACCGAUAAUGAGAGAUGGACGCGCGGUGCAUUAACUAGUUGGUGGGGUAACGGCUCACCAAGGCCACGAUGCAUAGCCGAUCGGAGAGGGCGAUCGGCCACACUGGGACUGAGACACGGCCCAGACUCCUACGGGAGGCAGCAGUAGGGAAUCUUCGGCAAUGGGCGAAAGUCUGACCGAGCAACGCCGCGUGAGUGAAGAAGGUUUUCGGAUCGUAAAACUCUGUUGUUAGAGAAGCGGUAUCUAACGAGAAAGCCACGGCUAACUACGUGCCAGCAGCCGCGGUAAUUC